AACGGUCUAUACCUGCGGUACCUGCGGAAGGAUCAUUAAUGAGAAACUGCCCCUCGCGGGUAGAUCUCCCACCCUUUGUAAACUUACCUUUGUUGCUUUGGCAGGCCCGUCUCCGGACCGCCGGCUUCGGCUGGCCAGUGCCUGCCAGAGGAUUCUAAAACUCUGUCUGUCAGUGUUGUCUGAGUCUAUAUACAAUCGUUAAAACUUUUAACAACGGAUCUCUAGAUCGGAAGAGCACAC
rnacentral:misc_RNA from 1 species